UGCUCGCUUGGAACAAUACAGAGAAAUUGGAAUGAUACAGAGAAGAUUAGCAUGGCCCCUGCGCAAGGAUGACAGGCAAAUUCGUGAAGCGUUUCAUAUUUUU